rnacentral:rRNA from 1 species
AUUGAACGCUGGCGGCAUGCUUUACACAUGCAAGUCGAACGGUAACAGGCCGCAAGGUGCUGACGAGUGGCGAACGGGUGAGUAAUGCAUCGGAACGUGCCCAGUCGUGGGGGAUAACGCAGCGAAAGCUGCGCUAAUACCGCAUACGAUCUAUGGAUGAAAGCGGGGGACCGUAAGGCCUCGCGCGGUUGGAGCGGCCGAUGUCAGAUUAGGUAGUUGGUGGGGUAAAGGCUCACCAAGCCAACGAUCUGUAGCUGGUCUGAGAGGACGACCAGCCACGCUGGGACUGAGACACGGCCCAGACUCCUACGGGAGGCAGCAGUGGGGAAUUUUGGACAAUGGGCGCAAGCCUGAUCCAGCAAUGCCGCGUGCAGGAAGAAGGCCUUCGGGUUGUAAACUGCUUUUGUACGGAACGAAACGGUCCUGGUUAAUACCUGGGGCUAAUGACGGUACCGUAAGAAUAAGCACCGGCUAACUACGUGCCAGCCGCCGCCGUAACAC